AAUGGCAAUGACAAUGGGAAGCAAGGCUGUAAGGCGGAGAGAAUCCUGAAAGAUUGCCUCGGUUCAGAUUGUUCUCCGCAACUCGGGAACAUGAAG
rnacentral:ncRNA from 1 species